rnacentral:tRNA from 2 species
AUAAUAGGAGUAUGAAGUAGUAUAUUUGUCUUCCAAACAAAAGGCCUAAGGUUAGCUAUUAUA